AGUGAACGCUGGCGGUAGGCCUAACACAUGCAAGUCGAACGGCAGCACAGUAAGAGCUUGCUCUUACGGGUGGCGAGUGGCGGACGGGUGAGGAAUACAUCGGAAUCUACUUUUUCGUUGGGGAUAACGUAGGGAAACUUACGCUAAUACCGCAUACGACCUACGGGUGAAAGCAGGGGAUCUUCGGACCUUGCGCGAUUGAAUGAGCCGAUGUCGGAUUAGCUAGUUGGCGGGGUAAAGGCCCACCAAGGCGACGAUCCGUAGCUGGUCUGAGAGGAUGAUCAGCAACACUGGAACUGAGGCACGGUCCAGACUCCUACGGGAGGCAGCAGUGGGGAAUAUUGGACAAUGGGCGCAAGCCUGAUCCAGCCAUACCGCGUGGGUGAAGAAGGCCUUCGGGUUGUAAAGCCCUUUUGUUGGGAAAGAAAAGCAGCAGGUUAAUACCCCGCUGUUCUGACGGUACCCAAAGAAUAAGCACCGGCUAACUUCGUG
rnacentral:rRNA from 1 species